GAUGGAUAUCCCCUCAUCCAUGCCCGAUAUUUGGGGGAAAUGAGAACUUUUACACCUACCCAGGUUCUUGGAAUGGUGUUUUCGGAUCUCAAAACUAUAGCAGAGAAGAAUCUCAAUGCAGCAGUUGUUGAUUGCUGCAUAGGAAUUCCCAUUUAUUUCACUGAUCUUCAGAGAAGAGCUGUAAUGGAUGCAGCCACCAUAGCUGGCUUGCGCCCUUUGCAUCUAAUUCAUGAGACAACAGCUACUGAAAUGAUUGUUGCAUAGGAAUUCCGAUUUAUUUCACUGAUCUUCAGAGAAGAGCUGUAAUGGAUGCGGCCACCAUUGCUGGCUUGCAUCCUUUGCAUCUAAUUCAUGAGACAACAGCUACUGCAUUGGCAUAUGGUAUUUACAAGACAGAUUUACCUGAAAAUGACCCACUGAAUGUUGCUUUUA
rnacentral:lncRNA from 1 species